rnacentral:rRNA from 1 species
AUUGAACGCUGGCGGCAGGCCUAACACAUGCAAGUCGAGCGGAGCGGCGGACGGGUGAGUAAUGCCUAGGAAUCUGCCUGGUCGUGGGGGAUAACGUCCGGCAACGGGCGCUAAUACCGCAUACUAUCAGAUGAGCCUAGGUCGGAUUAGCUAGUUGGUGGGGUAAAGGCCUACCAAGGCGACGAUCCGUAACUGGUCUGAGAGGAUGAUCAGUCAAAGUGGACCGGAGACGCGGUCCAGACUCCUACGGAGGGCAGCAGUGGGGAAUAUUGGACAAUGGGCGAAAGCCUUGUCCAACCAUGCCGAGUGUGUGAAGAAGGUCUUCGGAUUGUAAAGCACUUUAAGUUGGGAGACGUUACCAACAGAAUAAGCACCGGCUAACUUCGUGCCAGCAGCCGCGGUAAUUC